AUCCAGAUGACGAGUCCCAAACCGGGCGGAAUGCGCAUCCUGGAU
rnacentral:hammerhead_ribozyme from 1 species